ensembl:lncRNA
AACUACACAGUGUUUCCAUAAGAUACAUAAAAUAAGUAAAAUAUUUUAGAUGACAGUUGAUUUGAUUUUUGGCAUUUCCUUCAUAGGCAGUUUUAUUCAUCACAUAUAUUAAUGAUGUCCAAUCCGGGUGUAUGCCAAAUGAUGUUAAGAUGCAUCUGGAUGACCUGUUGUUGGAAGAGCACAUGUUUGAGAUUAAGGUGUUCUCACCUGAAACAAAGGGACACAAGCUUCUGUCAGUAGUAAACACCUUAUGUUCAACCUUGAAUAAUAAUAAACUUAAGGACAAAAAUAAAAUAAAAGUGCUAGAAACCUUUGAAAUAAUGCUGUAUUAUCUAGACAAACCAAAUACAAACAUUUGUGCUAUUCUGAACUGCACAGAUGAGUACACAGUACGCCGCAUUGACACUAAAACUUUUGGAGAAAUGUACAAAAAUUCUUGUAAUGGACCAGUUUCAGGUAUGGACAUUUAACCUGUCAUCAUUUAUGCUUUUUCUUUAGUCUUGCUCAUCCUUAAUUUCUUCAUAAUAUGAACAAUGGCCACCAUAAAUCUCUGGCAUUUCAUUAAGACAGAAUAUUUAAUAAACAAACAAGCAAAAUUACA